rnacentral:lncRNA from 1 species
AGGGUUAGGAGGUGUUACUAGACAGACAGACAGACAGACAGGUUAGAGUUAGGAGGUGUUACUGAACAGACAGACAGACAGGUUAGGAGGUGUUACUAUACAGACAGACAGACAGGCAGGCAGAAAGACAGGUUAGAGUUAGGAGGUGUUAAUGUACAGACAGACAGACAGGUUAGGAGGUGUUACUAUACAGACAGACAGACAGACAAACAGACAGACAGGUUAGAGUUAGGAGGUGUUACUGUACAGACAGACAGACAGACAGACAGACAGGUUAGAGUUAGUAGGUGUUACUAGACAGACAGACAGACAGACAGGUUAGGGUUAGGAGGUGUUACUAUACAGACAGACAGACAGAGACAGACAGACAGGUUAGGGUUAGGAGGUGUUACUAUACAGACAGACAGACAGGUUAGGGUUAGGAGGUGUUACUAGACAGACAGACAGACAGACAGACAGACAGACAGACAGACAGACAGACAGACAGGUUAGGAGGUGUUACUAUACAGACAGACAGGCAGGCAGACAGACAGGUUAGAGUUAGGAGGUGUUACUGUACAGAGAGACAGACAGACAGACAGGUUAGAGUUAGUAGGUGUUACUAGACAGACAGACAGACAGACAGACAGGUUAGGGUUAGGAGGUGUUACUGGACAGACAGACAGACAGACAGGUUAGGGUUAGGAGGUGUUACUAGACAGACAGACAGGUUAGGGUUAGGAGGUGUUACUAUACAGACAGAC